UGGGGAAUCUUGGACAAUGGGCGCAAGCCUGAUCCAGCCAUGCCGCGUGAGUGACGAAGGCCUUAGGGUUGUAAAACUCUUUCGUCGGGGACGAUAAUGACGGUACCCGAAGAAGAAGCUCCGGCUAACUUCGUGCCAGCAGCCGCGGUAAUACGAAGGGAGCUAGCGUUGUUCGGAAUCACUGGGCGUAAAGCGCACGUAGGCGGAUAGUUAAGUCAGGGGUGAAAUCCUGGGGCUCAACCCCAGAACUGCCUUUGAUACUGGCUGUCUCGAGGUCGAGAGAGGUUGGUGGAAUUCCUAGUGUAGAGGUGAAAUUCGUAGAUAUUAGGAAGAACACCAGUGGCGAAGGCGGCCAACUGGCUCGAUACUGACGCUGAGGUGCGAAAGCGUGGGGAGCAAACAGGAUUAGAUACCCACGUAGUCCCUGAGCGGGCUGGCAAGGCGCAU
rnacentral:rRNA from 1 species